CACCUGCUACAUAGUACGGUUGCAAUAAUUAUGCGGAUUUCUGUGUUGUUGCUUCGGCAUCAGCAUAGUGCCGCAUAAGCAGGUGAAACUUCUUAGAGGGACUGGCGCCCAAAAAGGCGCACGAGAAAGAGCAAUAACAGGUCUGUGAUGCCCUAAGAUGUCCGGGGCCGCACGCGUGCUACAAUGACGAUGGUAGUGAGCAUGAUUGACUGGUCCGAAAGGAUUGGUUAAACUGUUCAAUGAUCGUCGUGACUGGGAUUGGGGUUUGCAACUAUCCCCCAUGAACCAGGAAUUCCUAGUAAGUACAAGUCAUAAGCUUGUGCUGAUUACGUCCCUGCCCUUUGUACACACCGCCCGUCGCUACUACCGAUUGAAUUGUUUAGCAAGGUCAUUGGAUUGAGUCCUUUUGGUUUGCGCCAUUUGGAUUUGAGAGUAUGGCCGAACUUGAUCAUUUAGAGGAAGUAAAAGUCGUAACAAGUUUU
rnacentral:rRNA from 1 species